UAGGGAAUCUUCCACAAUGGACGCAAGUCUGAUGGAGCAACGCCGCGUGAGUGAAGAAGGUUUUCGGACCGUAAAGCUCUGUUGUUGGUGAAGAAGGAUAGAGGUAGUAACUGGCCUUUAUUUGACGGUAAUCAACCAGAAAGUCACGGCUAACUACGUGCCAGCAGCCGCGGUAAUACGUAGGUGGCAAGCGUUGUCCGGAUUUAUUGGGCGUAAAAGCGAGCGCAGGCGGAAGAAUAAGUCUGAUGUGAAAGCCCUCGGCUUAAAC
rnacentral:rRNA from 1 species